rnacentral:rRNA from 1 species
UACGGGAGGCAGCAGUGGGGAAUAUUGCACAAUGGGCGCAAGCCUGAUGCAGCCAUGCCGCGUGUAUGAAGAAGGCCUUCGGGUUGUAAAGUACUUUCAGCGGGGAGGAAGGCGGUGAAGUUAAUAGCUUCACCGAUUGACGUUACCCGCAGAAGAAGCACCGGCUAACUCCGUGCCAGCAGCCGCGGUAAUACGGAGGGUGCAAGCGUUAAUCGGAAUUACUGGGCGUAAAGCGCACGCAGGCGGUCUGUCAAGUCGGAUGUGAAAUCCCCGGGCUUAACCUGGGAACUGCAUUCGAAACUGGCAGGCUAGAGUCUUGUAGAGGGGGUAGAAUUCCAGGUGUAGCGGUGAAAUGCGUAGAGAUCUGGAGGAAUCCGGUGGCGAAGGCGGCCCCUGGGACAAGACUGACGCUCAGGGUGCGAAAGCGUGGGGAGCGAAACAGGGAUUAGGAUACC